AUAAAUUUGUUGUAGGCCAACUUUGAGCCAUUGCCGUACAUUGCUGAAAAUGAGCUUGAUUGGCCAGAACUAUCUUAUGGAACUGGAUUUAUGAAUGCUACAGAGGAGCUGAGUAAAGUUAUACAUGGUCAUACUGAUUCUUUAUACCUGAGACUAUGGCAACAGAACAGAUGUAACUUUAGGGAUUAUCAGAACAUUGCCGUGAAUGGAGCUAGAGCUAGCUCAAUGGUUGAUACCAUUGAAAAAAGGUAUAUAUUCAAACCUAUGUUAAAGACCACCUCUAAAUAUAAAGACCUAAUCUAAAUUUAAAGACAACCCAUUCACCACUCCUAGUUUUCUUUCCAGAUACAUUUCAUUUUCACUUAUGAACAUCAAUCUGUUGCAAAUUUACAGUCAAACCCUCUUUAUCUGGGCCUAACCUUUUCCAAUUUUUUUUUAUCCUCAAUUAAAUGUGGUCUUUAAUGUUGAGUUUGAUUGCCAAUGUAUGAUGAAGUAAAGUAUGUUAUUAUAAUACACAAUUAUGACAUAUAUAACCCUAAAUUUUGGCUGUGAAUGUUUUUUUUUAAUGGAAUGGUACAAAAAUUUAACAAGAACAGAAUGUCUUGCUGCUUUCUAAAACUUUCUAUGUUGUGCUUUGUAUGAGAGUUAGUAAACUGGUUGAUUCUAUGUGAUAUUAUGGGAUGUUUAAAUGUUGUUUGCUCAUCAUUAAAUAUCAAAACCAACAAAGGUACACAAAAAUUGUUUGCACAUAUAGUUUACACAUUACAACAGUACAUAGAUAUAACACAACAUACAUAAAGGUUACACACCACAUAAAGGCUACACAGAACAUAAAAAUUAGAUACUUAAUGAUUGUUGUAUGCCAGACUUUUGGGUAAGGCACCACAUAGAACUUUAAUUUACAUAUAACAUUAAUCUAACAUAAAGGUUUAAUAUACAGAACUUCACAUAAGGUAACCUUCAUGUAAAAUCAGCAUACAGAAUGAGCUUUAUAUUAAAAACACAUACCUUACACAUUACAUGAAGAAUACAUAUCCUACACAUUACAUAGAGAGUACAUGCCUUGUACAUUACUUAAAAAAUACAUACUCUAGACAUUACAUAAAGAAUACAUACCUUGCAUGUUACAUAAAGAAUACAUGCCUUACACUUUACAUAAAGAAUACAUGCUUUACACAUUAUAUAAUAAUAAGUAAUAUAUACCUUGCACAUUACGUAAAGAAUACAUACCCUAGACAUUACAUAAAGAAUACAUAUCCUACACAUUACUUAAAUAAUACAUACCUUGCAUAUUACAUAUAGAAUACAUACCCUACACAUUACUGAAAGAAUACAUACCUUACACAUAACAUAAAGAAUACAUGCCCUAGACAUUAUAUUAAGAAUAAAUACCCUACACAUUGAUUAAAGAAUACAUACCUUGCAUAUUACAUAAAGAAUACAUGCCUUAUACAUUACAUAAAGAAUACAUAUCCUACACAUUACAUAAAGAAUAAAUACCUUACACAUUACAUAAAGAAUACAUGCCUUGUACAUUACUUAAAAAAUACAUACUCUAGACAUUACAUAAAGAAUACAUACCUUACAUGUUUCAUAAAGAAUACAUGCCUUACACUUUACAUAAAGAAUACAUGCUUUACACAUUAUAUAAGUAAUACAUACCUUGCACAUUACGUAAAGAAUACAUACCCUAGACAUUACAUAAAGAAUACAUACCCUACACAUUACUUAAAUAAUACAUACCUUGCAUAUUACAUAUAGAAUACAUACCCUACACAUUACUGAAAGAAUACAUACCUUACACAUAACAUAAAGAAUACAUGCCAUAGACAUUAUAUUAAGAAUAAAUACCCUACACAUUGAUUAAAGAAUACAUACCUUGCAUAUUACAUAAAGAAUACAUGCCUUAUACAUUACAUAAAGAAUACAUACCCUAGACAUUAUAUAAAGAAUAAAUACCCUACACCUUAAUUAAAGAAUACAUACCUUGCAUAUUAUAUAAAGAAUACAUGCCUUAUACAUUACAUAAAGAAUGCAUACCCUAGACAUUAAAUAAAGAAUACAUACCCUACACAUUACUUAAAGAAUACAUUCCUUGCACAUUACAUGUAGAAUACAUACAUUACAUAGAGAAUACAUACCUUACACAUUACAUAGAGAAUACAUGCAUUACACGUUACAUGUAGAAUACAUACCUUACACA